rnacentral:rRNA from 1 species
AGCGAACGCUGGCGGCAGGCCUAACACAUGCAAGUCGAACGAACCUUUCGGGGUUAGUGGCGGACGGGUGAGUAACACGUGGGAACGUGCCUUUAGGUUCGGAAUAACUCAGGGAAACUUGUGCUAAUACCGAAUGUGCCCUUCGGGGGAAAGAUUUAUCGCCUUUAGAGCGGCCCGCGUCUGCUUAGCUAGUUGGUUGAGGUAAUGGCUCACCAAGGCGACGAUCAGUAGCUGGUCUGAGAGGAUGAUCAGCCACAUUGGGACUGAGACACGGCCCAAACUCCUACGGGAGGCAGCAGUGGGGAAUCUUGCGCAAUGGGCGAAAGCCUGACGCAGCCAGGCCGCGUAAAUGAUGAAGGUCUUAGGAUUGUAAAAUUCUUUCACCGGGGACGAUAAUGACGGUACCCGGAGAAGAAGCCCCGGCUAACUUCGUG